GAACGGAUUAGGGACUGAUUUUAAUCCAACUGAUGAUGGACGUUGAUUCCGGUGAGCUCCUAUCCAAAAAUUGAGGAGAAAAGAGAGUAUUUAGGGUAUUUUGGGACUGAUUAGGUCGAGAUGAUGAACUUGAUGAUGAUUCCACCGAGAUUUAGCCAGAAGAACUAAAGAAAAACCGACCGAAACCCUCAAAUCCUCUUCAUUUUCAUUUUGAUUUUUUGCUCAAUGUAUGUGUGUGUGUGUGCAAUUUACUCUGUGUAUGUGCGCAUUGAUGGAGUAUUUUGUGUGAGAGAGUGUGCAAAAAUGAAAGAUGGUCACUCCCCUCCCCUCACCUCUGUGUGAAUUGUGCGUAUAUGUAUAUGGUAGUGUGGUGAGUGUGCUUUUCUUUAAUUUUUUUUCUUUUUUGGUGUUAAUGGAACAUCAAGCUGUGUUGGAAUAUUCAUCCAUGGAGGAUUUUAUGUGUAAUCUGUGGGUUGAUGGUGAGAUCCAGAAAAAUAAAAAAAAAUGGAGGUCUGUGUAUGGUUGUUUUCGUUAGUCCGAAUGUGAUGAUGAUGAUUUUUGCCAAUUUUCUGUGAGUGUUAUCGUGUUUUUGAAUUGUAUAUGCGUAUUGAUGGAUGGUCCCCUCGUAUUUUUAUUGUGAGUGUAUAUAUACGUAUGAGAGAGAGUGUGUAUAUGAGUGAAAUGGAAAUUGGGAAUUCUAGUGGGGUCCACAUGAGGUGUGAGCAUCUAUUAUUCUCCCCUUCUUUUCCAAUUCUGUUACGUACA
rnacentral:lncRNA from 1 species